UACGUAGGGUGCGAGCGUUGUCCGGAUUUAUUGGGCGUAAAGAGCUUGUAGGCGGCUCGUCACGUCGGGUGUGAAAACUCGCGGCUCAACCGCGAGCCUGCACCCGAUACGGGCGGGCUAGAGUCCGGAAGAGGAGAGUGGAAUUCCUGGUGUAGCGGUGAAAUGCGCAGAUAUCAGGAAGAACACCCGUGGCUAAGGCGGCUCUCUAGUACGGUACUGACGCUGAGACGCGAAAGCGUGGGGAGCGAACAGG
rnacentral:rRNA from 1 species